CCUACGGUGGGCAGCAGUGAGGAAUAUUGGUCAAUGGCCGCAAGGCUGAACCAGCCAAGCCGCGUGAAGGAGGACGGCGCUGAGCGUUGUAAACUUCUUUUGUCAAGGGACAAAAUGCCGCACGGGUGCCUUUUUGAGGGUACUUGAAGAAAAAGCAUCGGCUAACUCCGUGCCAGCAGCCGCGGUAAUACGGGGGAUGCGAGCGUUAUCCGGAUUUAUUGGGUUUAAAGGGUGCGAAGGCGGGCGGUUAAGUCAGCGGUAAAAGAUCGGGGCUCAACCCAGCAGUGCCCUCGAAACUGGGAGCCGUGAGUGCGGUGGAGGUAUGCGGAAUGCGCGGUGUAGCGGUGAAAUGCUUAGAUAUCGCGCAGAACGCCGAUUGCGAAGGCAGCAUAC
rnacentral:rRNA from 1 species